rnacentral:tRNA from 1 species
GCAGUGGUGGUUCAGUGGUAGAAUUCUUGCCUUCCAUCCAGCAGGCCUGGAUUCCAACCUGGGAUCAGCUCCUGGCCAAUGCA